CCGGGAACCCCGAACAUCCCCUUUCUCUACUCUUUCCCUUUGGAGUCUAUAGAGGGAGAAGCAGAGCCUAAGGCUUCAUCAGUUUGAAUACUGGCUGGGGCUGGGCAAGUUAGUGGCUCAAAGUGUUGAAUCUGUCCCUAAAGCAGGGACAGAAAUGGAGGCUCAGGAGGUAGAGGUGGCAGUGGGCGUGCAGGAGAAGCUGUAGGUCAGGAGGUAGAGGUGGCAGUGGGCGUGCAGGAGAACUGUAGGUCAGAGUGGAGAGGUGGCAGUGGGCGUGCAGGAGAAGCUGUAGGUCAGGAGGUAGAGGUGGCAGUGGGCGUGCAGGAGAAGGUGUAGGUCGGGAGGUAGAGGUGGCAGUGGGCGUGCAGGAGAAGCUGUAGGUCGGGAGGUAGAGGUGGCAGUGGGCGUGCAGGAGAAGCUGUAGGUCGGAGAGGGUGCAGAGUGGAGAACAGAUGAGCUGGAGUCACACCAUGCCCUAUACCCAGCCAGAGGCCGAAGUGAGCCUGUCACGGUAAUGCCACUGCCUGCUUGAUUCCCUCCCAUGCCUAGCCUGGGUUCUUCAUGAUCCCUGAGGCCCUCUUUGAUGUCAUCCCGCUGCCUCAAAACCUGUGUGUGCUGGUGGCUCCCUCUGCUUUCCUUCCAGAUGACUCCUUCGCUUCAGCUCAAAUGUCACCUUUGGCUGUUAAAAUCCUUUCCGGAGGAAGUUGUAAACAAUGCCUACCCCUCCUCCCGAGGUCUCUGAUUCCACUCCAGGGAAGAUUGCUCUGGGGGAGCCAAUGAGUUUGUUGGGAUUACUUCCAGAGCAUAGGUGAGGGGUUAGUUACUUGAAUAUGAGUGCUGCCCACCAAAAGACCGCACUGAAAAGUCUUUACCCAGCAGGGGUGAUGGU
rnacentral:lncRNA from 1 species